rnacentral:rRNA from 1 species
CCUACGGGGUGCAGCAGUGAGGAAUAUUGGUCAAUGGUCGGGAGACUGAACCAGCCAAGCCGCGUGAGGGAGGAAGGUACAGAGUAUCGUAAACCUCUUUUGUCAGGGAACAAAGGCGGGGACGUGUCCCCGGCUGAGUGUACCUGACGAAAAAGCAUCGGCUAACUCCGUGCCAGCAGCCGCGGUAAUACGGAGGAUGCGAGCGUUAUCCGGAUUUAUUGGGUUUAAAGGGUGCGCAGGCGGUCUGUUAAGUCAGCGGUCAAAGCCCGGGGCUCAACCCCGGCCCGCCGUUGAAACUGGCAGUCUCGAGUUGGAGAGAAGUAGGCGGAAUGCGCGGUGUAGCGGUGAAAUGCAUAGAUAUCGCGCAGAACUCCGAUUGCGAAGGCAGCAUGCCGGCUCCAAACUGACGCUGAGGCACGAAAGCGUGGGUAUCGAACAGGAUUAGAUACCCUUGUAGUC